GCCAUGCAUGUCUAUGUUCAUACCUAGUUAUAGUGAGACUGCRAAAGGCUCAGUAUAUCAGUUAUAGUUUAUUCGAUUGKGAAAUCCACAUGGAUAACCGUGGAAAAUCUAGAGCUAAUACAUSCGAAAAAUGACCARGUUCCUUUKGGGAUUUGGUUGUGCAUUUAUUAGAUUAGAACCAAUUGRUAUURUAGUUUHGGCURURRYAYUAUKAUGGUGAGUCUGGAUAACUGUGCCGAUCGUAUGGCCUUGAGCCGGCGACGUUUCGAUUAAAUUUCUGCCCUAUCAACUUGUUGGUAAGGUAGUGGCUUACCAAGGUGAUAACGGGUAACGGGGAAUCAGGGUUCGAUUCCGGAGAGGGAGCCUGAGAAACGGCUACCACAUCCAAGGACGGCAGCAGGCGCGCAAAUUACCCAAUCCAGACACUGGGAGGUGGUGACGAGAAAUACCAGGUCGUUCCCAAAAGGAUUCGACACUGGAAUGAGUACAGAAUAAAUACUUGUUCGAGUAACAACUGGAGGGCAAGUCUGGUGCCAGCAGCCGCGGUAAUUCCAGCUCCAGCAGUGUAUUCUAACGUUGCUGCGGUUAAAACGCUCGUAGUUGGACAAGAGAGUGAUUUGGUGCGGGYGGGGAGUGUAAUUACACYGYGUUUGCUCUUGRUURAGURRYKUUCUGCUUCGGYAGUUSRUUGKUURAUUWDGUWGUGGCKYGRWUGUAGCACUCGUCUUCCAUGCUGCCAGAUYACUCAUAUUAUUUCGUGAGAAUGGCGUAUGGCCUUWAUUGUGCUGKWUGUUGUGUCUUACGUAGUGUGCCUUGAAUAAAUCAGAGUGCUCAAAGCAAGCURUCGCUUGAAUGUUAAUANCAUGGAACGAAUGUUUUGNGGAUGUAUGUAUGUUGUGUGCUUCGGUGCNUGAUGGGCAUAUAACGGCAACCACGGANCGGAACAUUGAAUUGCCNACUUNGGUGANGAUUAAAAGGGGCAUUUGGGGGCNUUNGUANUUGGCCGNGAGAGGUGAAAUUCUUGGACCGGUCAAGGACUAACAANUGCGAAAGCNUUUGCANGUAUNUUCCCUUUAAUCAGNAACGAAAGUGAAAGGGUAAAAGACAAUCAGAUGCCGUCCUAGUCUCNCNGUAAACGAUGCCACCCCGGGAUCAGNUCCGANGUAUUUAUAUUGGAUCCAGGUUGNUCCCCCUGGGAAACCUUGAGUUUUUUGGUUCCGGGGGGAGUAUGGUUGCAAGGNUGAAACUUAAAGGAAUUGACGGAAGGGCACCACCCNGAGUGGAGCCUGNGGAAAAAUUUGACUCAACACGGGAAAACUCACUGGUCCGGACAUCGAUAGGAUUNACAGACUAAUAGAUCUUUCANGAUACGGUGGGUGGUGGUGCAUGGCCGUUCUUAGUUCGCGGAGNNNUNUGUCAGGUUAAUUCCGGUAACGAACGAGAUCNCGUUUUUCAUUUGGGGAGCUGUAUUUNUUUGGUUGCAUUACAGUUUCGGCUGUGAUGUUCCAAACAUGAAUAUNGUAAAUGUGCAGCAAUGNGUGCCCCUAUGGAGAGACAGCCGGAUUAUAAGCCGGAGGAAGNGNGGCAAUAACAGGUAGCUGAUGCCCUUCGAUGUUCAGGGCCGCACGCGCGNUACAANGAUAACGACAGCGAGAGUNNGGANNGAAAANUUNUGGGAAAUNGUGUUAAUCGUUAUCGUGAUGGGGAUUGAGCAUUGUAAAAGUUGNUCAAAAAAUAGGAAUUCUUNGUAUUUGGGACUCANUCAGGUCNNGAAGAAAGCGUCUAUGCCCAAAGUACACACCGCCUGUNGNUAUGCUCAAGAGNGAAUGGUGUCAAGAUANUUACCGUGGGAAAACUAGAGCUNANACUCGAAUAAACUACGCAAGAGUCGCAACAAGGUUUCCGUAGGUGAACCAGCGGAAG
rnacentral:rRNA from 1 species